rnacentral:rRNA from 1 species
GACGAACGCUGGCGGCGUGCCUAACACAUGCAAGUCAACUUGACUGAAGGAGCAAUCUGACAGUAGAGUGGCGCAAGGGUGCGUAACGCGUAAGUAACUUGCCCAAGGUAAGGAAUAACGUCGAGAAAUCGGCGCUAAUACCUCAUAAUGCAGCGGAUCCGCAUGGAUAUGUUGUUAAAGGUUUACCGCCUUGGGAUAGGCUUGCGUCUGAUUAGCUAGUUGGUGUGGUAACGGCACACCAAGGCUACGAUCAGUAACUGGUCUGAGAGGAUGAUCAGUCACACUGGAACUGAGACACGGUCCAGACUCCUACGGGAGGCAGCAGUGAGGAAUAUUGGGCAAUGCUCGAAAGAGUGACCCAGCAACGCCGCGUGGAGGAUGAAGGUAUUCUAUAUCGUAAACUCCUGUGAGAGCAGACGAAAGACAGAUUAUUAAUCUGGAUGACUGUAUGCUCAGAGGAAGCCCCGGCUAACUACG